CAUGUGACGGCUAGACCAAUGGGAUUUGAAAAUGGCCUUGAUGAUUCAGACGGCCGUGACGUCAGCGGGGUCAAGUUGUCGGCAGGCGGAGCGCGCAGCGUGGAGUAACAGCGCCACCUAGCAGCCGCCUCGGGGUAGGGGCGCCGGAGCCCUUCCCCGCGAACAAAGGAAGCGCCCCCGGGGCGGCAGGGGCAGGAGAGGGGUGGAGGAAGGUGGGAGGGGGGGGGGGUUCUAGGAAGAAUGGGGUUUGUUUACCCGGGAACAAGCCUGUAACUCUUGGGGAAAGUGGGGCGGAGAGGGGGGAAAUGCAGGAGAGAGGGAGAGAUCAAGGCAUCUCGGGGCUCAAAACAGUCAAAUUCAAAUUAAAAGGUCAAGACACGAUUCAGGUACUUCUUCCCUUCGCUUCACCUCUUCUUUUCCUCUCCUGGCCUCUGGGCCCCGCUUCUUCCCUUGGGAUGGGUGUGGGGUGAACUUGGUGGGGAGGGCUCCAGUGGGCAGAGAAAGGGAGAAAAAGUUAAGGAAUCCCAAACAGAACUAAACUUCCUGCUCUCCCGCGUCCCGGUUCGCUGGGCUUGGCCCGGGAGCUCAGUUCCCGGACCUCUCCGCUCAUGGAAGCUGGUUGAGUUCUAAGUGCCCCGUGGGGCUUGACGGAGGAACCUCCCGUGUCUGGAGUGGACCAAGGAGGGGGUCACCAUCACUUCAGGACUGCUCCAGGAGGGAAACGGAAUCUGGAGAAUAACUUGUCUUUCCGGUUGCCCCGCAUUUCCCCCCACCCCGGACGAAGCCCGGGGUUUCGAUUUUCCAAAGGGCUGGAGUCUGGCAAGGCAAGGACCGGUGCUCAGGGCGCCCUGGCGUGGAGUGUGGAGGCUGGAUCGCUCCUGGAGAGGCCCAAGCCAGCGGCUGCUAGAAAAGGACUUCGGAAAGAAAUCAGCCGAACUCUCUCAUCCAGGGGGCAAGAGAGGAGGCACAGGGGUCCCUGGACCCCCGGGAAUCCUGGAAGAAAACGUGUAAUGUGUGACUUGUUUGCAGGGCCAGCCAGGGGGAGAGUAGAAAGGGUUUUGUGUUUUCAUUUGCAGGGGUCGCCGUGGGCUCGGCGCAGGGGUUGGCCGGGGCAAGGUUAGGCUGUUUAGGCCCCAGACGAGACUUGGGACAGCCCGGGCGGCACUCAAUCCAGGGAGCCAUUUGUCCCACCGCCCACCCCGCGGGAAACGGCGGAGACUUUAUGGCCACUCUGUUUGUAUUAUCUGCAUAAGUCUUUCCCCACCAGUUUGAUCGAAACUGUUCGCUUUUACGAGGACCCAACGAAAAUUCCCCGUCAUAUUUAUCAGCCGGGGAUAAAAAUUUAGUAUGGGAACUGAUAUUUCCUCAUUUAUGGGGCGAUGAAAUUAAAGACCAAAGCAAUUGAGAAUUAUAUGGCUUUGGGGGGGUUCCCUCCCCCCCUCUUUCACAUCUCCUUUAUUUUCCCGCCUGGUGUGCCUGUCCCUGGAGUUUGGCGUCCCAGUCUCCUGCCCUUGCCCCCUGUUUGGGGGUCUGCUGGGCCCUCUCCUUCACACCCAGGUACCGCUUGGCCAACCUUAGCUUUUCCUAGUUUUUCUCUCGGUGUCCGUAGCUGGGGGCCUCCCGGAGCCUCUGCCCCGGCCACGCUGGGAUCUGGCUGGGGUGGUGGAGGGUUGCCAAGAGCUUCGCAGGGGAAGAAUGGGAGCCCAGCCUGGGAGGGGGCAAGGAAGGGGGUGGGGGUGAAGAGGACAAACUCCAGAUUACCUCUCAAAAACAGCAAGCCCCAAGACUUAACCUGGGGAACUAACGGGAGAGGAGCGGAGUCACUCCGCCUCCGGACCGGCUCUCCCUACCAGCCCGACACCCACCCCAAACUCACUCCUUACCUCAGCCAUGGGAGGGGUUGGAGUCGCUUCAGAAUUCUUGCCAUUAUUAAUGGAAAUUAUCUCCCCCCCCCCCCCCCGGGGAGAAGGAGCCUCUCGCCUCGGCUCUCACCUCCUCACAAGAACGAAUAGUGUUUAAAGUUGAAAUAAUUAAAAGUAUGAUAAACACGGCCCAUUAAUGAAAAAAGAAAUCAAAUUCAUCAGCCUAAGUGGGACCCCCGGUGGGACAAACGUUUGCCUCUAAUUACGCAGGAUAAACGCAAACCCGGAGCUGUUAAACGAGACCCCGAGAGGACGCAGACUUGAAUAACUUGUUGGGUUUUUGCAGACUUUGGGAUUCUGCCCCAGUGGAGGCGAAAGAAAGGAAAGCGGGAGGGUGAGGAUGGGGGCGAGGGGGGCAUUUGAGCGGGUCCAAGGAAGUACAGUCGGAUGUGGGUCCCAGCCCUGCCCCCUUGGGCUCCGUCUUUUCCGAGGCCACGAGCAAAGGCCGCUUCCGUCCUAUUGUCCGGGCCUGGCGUUCAAAGGCACUCGGGCUGCCACGGCCAAGCCGCUGCCGGCACCCACCGGCCCUACCCCGCAGAGCCAAGACCCUCAGGCCUGCGCCCCUGGGGAACUGGAUUGGGGUCCAGAGAAGUCUGCGCUGCUGCAUUCACCCUGUUAAACCAUUUUCCCAACUUUCCGGGAGGGCUGAGAGACCUGUGCCUAUGUCUGACGCCGGGGCUCCCCUUCUUGCCUCAAUUUGGGGAUGUGAAAAUCCAAGGGCUGCCGGCCAGACCAGUGCUCAGGCUGUGCCUACUUGUCGACCAAUCCCACCCACCCGGAGAACCCUGGCAUUGUGUGCGCCUCUUCCCGGUAGGACAGCAGAACCUGGAAGGGCAGCAGGGAUGGGGGGCUGGGCCUGUGGGACUGGGAGUAAGAGAGCGGACAAGGGUGCUCCUUGCUAGCUCCUUGCAUAUUCCAGGAACAUCGGUGGUUCCAGAGGGCAGGCUGAGGGCUGGGGCACUAGGGGUCCCCAUGUGAAAACAGAAGAAGGAAAAUGUAGUGCUCAACGAACAGAAAGGGACCGCGACUGUUUUCCGGGCUCUAGCCCUCCAAGUGCCCCCCAGAAACACCCCGAUUUUUCCAAGAAAAAAUUAGAGUUUCUCAAAGAGGCUCAGGAAAUCAUCUGGGAAAUUCCAAAGGUGAAGUGAAAAAAGGAAGAGUGUCUCUCCCUUUGGG